CCUACGGGCGGCAGCAGUAGGGAAUUUUGCGCAAUGGGCGAAACCCUGACGCAGCAACGCCGCGUGAUCGAUGAAGCCCUUCGGGGUGUAAAGAUCUGUCAGUGGGGACGAAACCUGACGGUACCCACAGAGGAUGCACCGGCUAACUCAGUGCAAGCAGCCGCGGUAAUAUGGGGGGUGCAAGCGUUGUCCGGAAUCAUUGGGCGUAAAGAGUUCGUAGGUGGUACGUUAAGUCUGGUGUUAAAGGCGGAAGCUCAACUUCCGUAGGGCACUGGAUACUGGCGAGCUUGAGUACGGUAGAGGUAAAGGGAAUUCCUGGUGUAGCGGUGAAAUGCGUAGAUAUCAGGAGGAACAUCGGUGGCGAAAGCGCUUUACUGGGCCGUAAUUGACGCUGAGGAGCGAAAGCCGGGGUAGCAAAUAGGAUUAGAUACCCGAGUAGUC
rnacentral:rRNA from 1 species